GCAUCAGUGGUGUAACGGUAACAUUGGAGCUUCCCAUCCACGUGGGCCCCAAAUGGGGGUUAACUGCUCUAGCCUCGGGUUCGACUCCCGGCUGAUGCA